AUGUGGGUCACCCAAGCAGCAUGCUCCCAGUUGUUAAUAAUUAAUACUGAGCAUCCUGGGGAGGAAUCACUGUGGAUAAUUGUAGCCAGUAAGUACAAGUCUGGCAGCCUAGUGCGCUGCGGGUCGCAAGAGGGCAGCGAGGAAGGAAUCGUACAUCACGCCGGUGCCAGCCGCCAGACUUCUGGAUUUCUGGAAUUCUUCUGUGAACAGGAGAAGAAUAAAUCAAAGAAGAAUUCUUACCUUGAAAGUGAAGCUCGAUGUGGCUUCUUGCCGGAAAGUUCUACCAACCACUCCUCACAUCCUGAGUGGCACCUAAGCCUCUUCCACCCCCACUGCCUGCGCUUACUCUGA
rnacentral:lncRNA from 1 species